rnacentral:sRNA from 1 species
AGUCCUAAGGAUGGAUUCAUUGAUAAGGGCAACUCUAGGGUUCAUCAGAUAGCUAAUAGGUGAAAGGUAGAUACCCUUGACGAUAAAUUCAAAAACUGGGUGAAUCCACUGUCGUGAUAGAGACCCCCAGAACUCUACCACUUCCUAAUCUCAACUGUCAUUGAUGAAACAUAGCAGAGCAGGGUUUAAGAAACAAUCUACCAAAUCCAAUAAGCAGACAAGCCAAUGUCUUGGUCGAGUCUACAAAUCUCUGGAAUUCGUAGAUCAGACAUCCAUUUGAACGUCUUUUGGACGUUGGACGGCAAUGAUCGAAUCUCCACAUUAGCCAGCGAAAACCA